rnacentral:rRNA from 1 species
AGAGAUGUGUGAUGACGCAUAUCAAUAAGCGGAGGAAAAGAAACUAACAAGGAUUCCCUUAGUAACGGCGAGUGAAGCGGGAAGAGCUCAAAUUUGAAAUCUUCAAGGGUUCUACCUUGACGAAUUGUAGUUUAUAAGAAGUGUUUUCUGUUAGUAGAGGUGGCUAAAAGUUCUUUGGAAUAGGACAUCAUAGAGGGUGAGAAUCCCGUAUUUGAUCAUUCUUUCUAAGCUUUGUGAUACACUUUCAACGAGUCGGAUUGUUUGGGAAUGCAGUCCAAAAUGGGUGGUAAAUUUCAUCUAAAGCUAAAUAUUGGCGAGAGACCGAUAGCGAACAAGUACCGUGAGGGAAAGAUGAAAAGAACUUUGAAAAGAGAGUUAAACAGUACGUGAAAUUGUCAAAAGGGAAGCGUUUGACACCAGUGUUGUUUUUCCGAAAAUCAAUUACGAAUGUUUUGUUUUUGAGGAGUUAUGACUUCAUCGGCUUGCUUCUCUCUUUAUGAAACUUUCUUAAUGCACUUUUCGGUUAACAAGUCAACAUCAAUUUCUUUUGUUGUAAAAGGGUAUGAGGAAGGUGGCUUUCUUUUCGGAGAAAGUGUUUAUAGCCUUGUAGCCUCUGCAAUCGGAGAGAUUGAGGUCUGCAGCGUAGAUCCUUCGGGGUUAGAUACAUUUGUGCUAAGUUAUAGCUUUUCAUAGACAACUUGUUGACUAUGUUAAGUCUUGUAGCUUACUCGCUUAUGCUAUUUUACCUACGCUUAGGAUGUUGAAGAUGUAGCACAUCAU